AUUUUUUUUGCUAUGCACAGAAUACGAAGGUUAUAUUAUCUCUCUAUAUUUUGAAUGGGAGUCAUUGAAGCCUAGGCAAGGUACUUGUAUUUGGAUCUGGCAUAAUUACAAUCAUCCUGUCAUCAUCAGUUUCACUCCUCUGGCUGCUCCUUGUGUGUGUGUGUCCACUAAUGCGUUCAGCAUUGCAACUGCUGCUGCCAAAUGCUGAGGCAGCAGUAUACAUAGCUGGUUCAGUUUGUGCAGCAUUCGUUGCCAACAUAGAUGGUCACUCUGAUAAACUGUCACCUUCAAUGGGAGGAUGCUCAGGUUUUGAGACCGAACCUAUAUGUACCACCAAAACAAUAUCCUAAUUGCAAGGAAGGUGACCUUCCUCUCAUCAUCGCGAUUGACUAGCAACCAAUGACCCUGAUAGGUGUUAUGCAAGUGUAGGGCGACAUCACUAAUGCUCGGACAACGGAUGUGGCAUUUCGAUGGAUGCAAAGCAGACUUGGUUGUUUGCGAUGGAGGCUUCGGAUAGUAAGAUAUCAUAUGAGUGCAAGAGAACUACUCCCACCAUUAACUAUAACAAAUUUUGUCACCAAAAUUUGGUGGCUGGUGGAUCUGCUUAAGAAUCAAAAGUCAGACAAGGUGGACAUCACCAUCCAACCGGAGGAGUAGGAAGCCAUGAAUGAUGUUCUAGCAGCCAGGUGACGCCUGA